AAAGGACGCGGUUGAGGAAUUGUUGAUAAAACCGAUUCACUUCGACACCGGCCUAACUGACAAGGAAAUAAUUGUGACUAUCCAGAUAUCAUCUCUGACGACUUAAAAGAAAAAUCUUUCAAUGAGUGGAAUAUUAAAAUAAAUCCAUUUACGGAUCCAUGUUUCAAAGCAGCACGAGACGCCAGAGACGCUACCCGAAGAAAACUUCAAACACUACCAGAAAAAAGGAUGGUACGAAUUUUAAAUGAAAAUACACCAGACGGUUUGCAAAAGAAGUUUUUUUUUUAAUAGCAUCUUUUGAAUUAGCUUGGCGUGGUCGUGAUGGAGCCAGUUGUUUCACAUACUAUUUUAAGCCAGAAAUUGACAAUAAAGGACUUAUUACAGCCCGGAUUGAAUAUAAUCCUGUCUUUUCAAAAACAGCACAAGGUGGUUCAAAACCAUUGACAAGUAGUAAAUGGUUAACCAAAAAUAAAGACCACCCCAACCUUUCCCAUUUUAUGUCGUGUAUUAAACUGUUCUAAUUUAUAGGCUGUAUCAUUACUAUUGAUGAAAAGAGGAAAUAACAUAAACAUCGACAGAAUGUUUUUAACACCCAAUCCUUUUUGGAACAAAAUACAAAAUGCACUGUGGUACGAAAAUAGUCCCGUUGAAGUUAAUGAAAUGGGUAAAUGGGUAAAGUCGUUAGCAAUAGUGACUGGUUUAGAUAUUAAAAGAAGGAAAAUAUCAAAUCAUUCUGUGCGCUCAUCAGCGGUAUUUGCUUUGGCUAAAGCUGGAGUUGAACAGCAGUCGAUGAAAAUCACAGGACACCAGAACGUUAAUUCAAUUAAACCAUAUUUGCAACUCGACGAUGAACAUCACAAAUCAAUUAUUAAUAGAAUACGAAAUAAUUCAGUUAAUCAAGUAAACAAUACUGUAAAUGAUAAAACGAUAAGUGAGGCUUCUUGUUUAUUACAAAACUGUACGAAUGUAACCUUUUCAAAUUGUACAUUUA